rnacentral:rRNA from 1 species
GUCACUUUCGCUUCUUCCCUGCUGAAGAGGUUUACAACCCGAAGGCCGUCAUCCCUCACGCGGCGUCGCUGCAUCAGGCUUUCGCCCAUUGUGCAAUAUUCCCCACUGCUGCCUCCCGUAGGAGUCUGGGCCGUGUCUCAGUCCCAGUGUGGCCGGUCGCCCUCUCAGGCCGGCUACCCGUCGUCGCCUUGGUAGGCCAUUACCCCACCAACAAGCUGAUAGGCCGCGGGCUCAUCCUUCACCGCCGGAGCUUUUAACCCCGUCCCAUGCGGGACAGAGUGUUAUCCGGUAUUAGACCCCGUUUCCAGGGCUUGUCCCAGAGUGAAGGGCAGAUUGCCCACGUGUUACUCACCCGUUCGCCACUAAUCCACCCCGAAAGGCUUCAUCGUUCGACUUGCAUGUGUUAAGCACGCCGCCAGCGUUCGUCCUGAGCCAGGAUCAAACUC